UUCAGCCACUAUACGAAACCUAUAUAUAGGUUAUGACUAUGUCUUUAACUUCCAAGUUCCUGUUUUGUGUAUCGAGUUUCUUGUAUAUCCUUUGCCGACAUGAUAGUUUCAGCAAAUACAGAACUAAUGUUUUACCAAAAAAAAUGUGAAUGAAUACACAAUCCAUUUGAAGAAAACUAAUUUUAGGGGAAUUACGUUACUGUUAACUGUAAGUCCAAGCUAAACUAUAAUUUAUAAGUUCCG